AUUCCAGCUCCAAUAGCGUAUAUUAAAGUUGUUGCAGUUAAAAAGCUCGUAGUUGGAUUUCUGGUAGGAGCGACCGUGCCGAACUUGAUUGUUCGUGUAUUGUGUUGUCUUCAGCCAUCCUCGUGGAGAACUUUUCUAACAUUAACUUGUUGGGAUUGGGACCCGCGUCGUUUACUGUGAAAAAAUUAGAGUGUUUAAAGCAGGCAUUAGCUUGAAUACAUUAGCAUGGAAUAAUAAGAUAGGACUUUGGUACUAUUUUGUUGGUUUGCAUACCAAAUUAAUAAUCAACAGGAACAGUUUGAGGAUAUUCGUAUGAACAUGUCAGAGGUGAAAUUCUUGGAUUUUGAUAAGACGAACUACUGCGAAAGCAUUUAUCAAGGAUGUUUUCAUUA
rnacentral:rRNA from 1 species